GGCGCCCCGCUCCAGCAGUCGCAGCACCUCCUCGGUGUCUCCGCUGGAGCAGGCGGCCAAGAAGACGGCGCCGUCGUCGAACUUCACCUUGGUCUUCUUGCGCUUGACCACGGGCGGCUCCAGGCUCUUUGUUUACUAUGGAAAGAUACUUCUGUAGGUAACUUCUCACGCUACAGCUCAACUGAUCAGUCUUCAUCCCAAACCAUCAAGUGACUUCUUUGGUGACCUCCUGUUUUUCCCUAGCACAAGGCCAGAAAGAAAUUGAAUUGCUUCAUCUUCUUAGUUCACAAUCUUAGACUCUUUUCCAGUUAGAAAAUCAAUGCACUCUGUGUGUGUUGCCCAAACAGAAUCCCACCCGGUGCUCUCUUGCCCGGCCCCAAAGACCUACGUUCAACUAUACCUAUAUUCACACCAUCCCUGAUACCCAGAGCAUGUACUUUGCUUCUCCAGUUUCAAGAUGACCACUGCCUGCUUAUCCUGGUGUGAGAGGAGCACAGCACACAAAGUCAGCUAUUUCUAUACCAGUGAGAGAUAAACCACCCCUGCGAUGCCUUGCCAGCCUGUCCCACACCCUUUACCUUCCAUCCUUCCUUCUUUCCCUCUCCUGGUGAAGACACAGCAUUCUCCCACCCCUGGCCCUGGCUCCUCUGGCACUCAGCCACCAUUCUGCAGCAGGUCUGACUGGAUCUGAUGUCUGCCAGAGACUGUUCUUCAUCAGCCGGGCCCUGGAGGUAAGAGCAGUGACUGAGAAAGGCUUCUCCCAAGUAAAAUAUGACUUAUUCAUAGGAACAGAGCACUUGGGGAGAAAAAUGUUAAUGUGAGAUGAGCUGAUGUCUCACCGGAAAGAUCUACAGGCCUAACUCUUCCUUGGACCCUGCUUUCUGGAUGGAAAUAUCCCCGAAGACUUCACUUUUCUUAGCUUCAGAGCAGAGAUCUUCUCUACAACAAGGCAAUGCCUCUGUUUUGUGUGUUUGUGAGCUCCUUUUGCCAAGCUCGUCUGGUGAAGAAACUAAUGGACCCUGGAAACAUUCCUGUGACUGCCCUGCUUCGUGUACCGCAUGCUGCACAUCAGCACAAGAGGAGUCCCUGCUUCUAAAAUUGAACUCUCCUUCUUAACAACCUCAUUUAGCAGGACACUGAGCUGGCAAAUCAGAUGCACACGACUUGCCUGGCUGUGCUGCGUCCAAGCUCUGCCUUCCUACAACACAGGCUCUCCCCUUGAAGUUCUCUGCAGGAUGGCAGUGGGAGCCUCCAGCGUGCAAAUCAAGCUGGCACAGCCAGGGUUCUGUUGGGGCUGUAAGAUGGACGGGAAAAAAACAGCUGGAGCUUCCUUCCACUCUCCCAGGGCAGCAGAAAUAACCUACUGUGAACGAAGCACAGGAAAAGGAAAAAAAAAAUGCACGUAAGCGUCUAUGACAAUUUGGUAACUGAGAAAUCUAAACUCUCAUGGGGAGUGGAAGUCAGUGAAGAUGGCUGUAGGUGAGAGCUCAGACCAACUCUGCUUCUCACUGUUUGCUUGUCCUUUACCAGCUCCCUUUGGCAGCCCCACAGCUUUUGUCCCCACCCACCACUGGCGGAUUCCUGUUUCUUUUCAAGUCUCUUGGUUGUGGGUGACGCCGGAUGCACGUGCCUAAGGAGAGGACAACAAACACUUCAGGGUAGUGGAGGCCUCUAGAGACAAUUUCACUACAAAUAAAUUUUUUGGUUAUCUUAAUGCCAGCAGGCAUCUCAGUAAAAGUGGUUUCAUGUUCAAGAAAGAUGCCUGCUUACUUAUUUUUUUUUAUUAACAAAGCAGUUUGCUGACAAUAUAAACUAUUGGCUAGAGCAGUGCUGCUCAAACUGCCAGCUAUGGCUACUGAAGGAGCCAUGGAACAGUUCAAAAGGGCUGUAGCUCAAAAGAGUUAAUCAAUCCACAAUACUUUUAUAUUAAACUGUCAACAGUUCAAGCCAGUAUUUCUUUUGGUAAGUGGGUGUUGUGCAGGGCUUGCAGGAUUUUCAGAAACAGACAAAAUAAAAAGUAAGCCAUGCUUGGAAAACUAAAAUAAUAUAAAAUUGUGAAAUGGACAACACCACCAACCCCCAGCUCAGAUGCCAUAGGAUGGUGCCCGUUUGGUGAGGCACUGCCUGUGCUGGGGUCAUGCUCAGCUCCUGACUCUUCCCACCUCAAGGAGCUACCCCAGUCCUCCUGCUCCCUGACAAAGUCACAUUGAAAACCAUUGCUUUUAGCAUUCAUGUUGAAGUUUGUAGCAGUAUUUUUUCAAGCAUUAUUUUUGAGUCCAUGACAGUAGUACAAAUCAGCUGAUUUCUAGUUGUUCUUUAGUACAGGUAAGUAGCGACAGAUUUGAGUUAGUGCAAACACACUUCACUGUAGCCUUUCCCCUAUAUUUGAGGUGCAGGUCUUGCUCGGUGGUGAGGGAAAAGCCACAGAAGCAUUAGCAUUCACCCCCAUGGCAGCUGGCAUUAGUGCCAACCCAGGGUGCUCCCGCUCUCCAUACCACAAGGACUAUCACAGCUACACUGGGCUGCACACUAGCCAGCUUCCCCCUCCCCAUCUCCUGCCACCCACACACAUCAGCACUGAGUCUGUUCCAGGCUGCUUGUCACAACCCUCUGACAAAACAAAGAGAGGCAAAGGGAAAAAGGGUUCGGAGAGAAUUAGCAAGGAGGGAAGAGAUGGAAGGAAUACAUAUGUGGAGUGGAAUAUGAUUAAAUAGAUCACCGACUACAGUUUUCAGUUGUGUUUGAGGAAGCCUUCAGUAGAAAGCAUUCUACAGGACUCCAAACAGAUGACAGAAGCUGCAAAGGUCACUUUAUGUGAACUGAUUUCAAAUCUAGAUCAGAUUAGAACAACUGAAGCUCUGAUCACUAGAUGGUUAUGCAAGAGUCACAUGUGAAAUCAUCAAUUGCUCCUUAUAGUAUAGCUCGAGUGAAACCCUCUGCCCAGCCUUUCUUAUGGAGAGUUAAUGCAGGAACAGCUGAAAGAAAAUGCAUUUCAAUAUUAAUUUUUCAUUCUCAGAACAUCCCAUAAAGUAGUUGUUUCUUCUGGACAUUUGGGAAAGAAUAACUGCAUACAUUCUUUAGAGUAGUGUUAUGCUGUUUGGACCACAUCUACCUAUUGAACAGUUGUCACAUCAUAACUCAGGGACAUAUGCCAACAAAUUUGAAAUCCAAACUCGCAGACAUUAACAGGAAUAUGAAGAAUUUAGAUAAAAUGUGCUUUUCAACCUCUAAGCAGGCAAGCCUGCAUUGACAUUGCUCUAUAUAAAGGAAGGUUUCUGUUGCUACGGUUUCCAAAUGGCCUCAUUGUGAGCAAUCAAUAAAGGCACUGAAUUAAAUUGUUAAAUUAAAACUGCAGCUCCUGAUGCUGAAGGCAAGGACUCUGUGCAUGUUCAAUCACAACUAUAGGUUAGUUUGUUUAAGUCUUUAUAUUCGGAGGAUUUGAUCACUGCAUAGAGCAAAUUCAUGUGUGCACAGCUUGAGAUCACACAGAGAUGGUCUCUUUUUCUUUUUGCACAAAUGACGGUUUGCCUUUUAAGCUGUUGAAAGGCAAAUAUCUUGCAAGAUCAUGACAUACAACUAACUGCAGAAUAUUUUGUUCAAAAUCAUAAAUUGCUGUAUCACAUUUUAGUAUUUUAUUAAAGCAAUAUUAAUAUUAUUUCUGUUACAUACGAACUGUAUGAAUGACAUUUCAAAAAUUAAUACAAUACAGAAAAUUUCAAGUUUUCUAUGAUUUUAGUGAAAAACAUAUAAACACCAAGUAUAGUCAAACUGAACAUCAACAGAUCUGAAACUGAGUGCUGUCUAUGGAUAAAAAAGUAUUUAUAUCAGCUUGAUAUAAAGAGGCAAAAACAUAAUUACCAUUAAACAUCAUUUGGGACAACAGGAGCUUGUGAAAAUUUAUGGUUUUGGUUUACCUAUUUAAAAUGCUGCUGACCAUGGAAUGGAAUUACAUGGUAGAGAUUACAUGGGACCUUCUUUCAAAAUAUUUUAACUCUUAAAAUAAACAACUAGCCACUGAGUCCAGAAUGCAUAAUAAACAGACUUGAAGAGCUUUUAACCCCAAUCUUAAAAAAAAAAAAAAAAGAAAAAAAAGGAAAAGUGCUUAUAUAAGAAUAACUAAGAAUAACAGUUCAGAGCAUCUUUAAAUCCAAUGGAAUACACUUUUUAAACCCUUAACACCCUGAUGUAUUUGUCCCAAGCACAACCCUGGCGUGUCUGUGAGAUCCUUGAUCUGUUUCCUUUCAAACCCCUCAAAAUAAUGGAAUGGGUAGAACAGAAAUGUUUACUCCCCUUGAUACAGACAGCAUGCUAGAUGGAAAAUAAAUGUACCAAAGAUUUCCAAUUAUAAUGAACAAAAGUCAUAAUUACAAAAGGUAGAGGAACUUAAAAAAGCUUAACUUUCAGUUCGAUCUAAACUAUGAAUCUAUGUCAUUCUGCAAACAGAACUCAGGUGCCUAAGUUACCUAAAGGCAGAGGUUUUGUAUUCCUUUGAGAUUUAGGCAUCUACAUCUCAUAUAUAUUUUAAACAUUUUUGAAAUCUGGCAUUAAUUUCCAAUCUAACCACUGAUUUUUGCGUGGUAUAAAAUCACCAAUGCUUGUAUUUCUGUACUUACCUUACUCCAAACUCCUUCAUUUGACAAGACUUUGCAAGUCAGCAUCAACUGAGUCUUUCAUGUGUAAAACUAGAGGCACCAACCAUAAAAUCACAGAAUCAUCUGUGUCAGAAAGGACCUUUAAGAUCAUCAAGUCCAACUAUAAACCCAAUACUGCCAAACCCAACACUAAAACAUUUCCUAAGUACCACAUCUUCUAAACACCUCUUCUAAACACCUGCAGGUGACUCUGCCACUUCCCUGGGCAGUCUGUUCCAGUGCCCAGCCACCCUCUGGGUGAAAAACCUGCUUCUAAUAUCCAACCUAAACCUCUCCUGACACAAAUUCAGGUAAUUUCUUCAGGUACUGAAAGAACAAUGGACUACUGGAUGAGACUUUAUCUGUAUGAAUGUUCCAGUCAAUCAUUACAGGACAUAUAUAUAAUUAUUUUACUUUGUGUGUGAAACCUUCUCUAGAAGAACAAAGUACCUUACAAAAUGUGAACUUUGUCUUCAUAAAUAAAAGCAUCUGGUUUGCUGUCUAACCAUCUGGCUUGUCUAAAGUUUAUAGUCUCCUGA